GACUCUGGUCAAACUUACUUAAUUAUCAAAACCCAGAAAAGCUGAGGACAUUUUGGGGAAAGGUACUUGGCUCUACAGGUCAGUGUUUUUAAUCAACUGCAGAGUAGGAAUUUUGAAUGGUAUUUUGCACCAUGUUGAUUUGAAUCAAUUCACCAUUUGACUUUGACAUACCAUAGCCUUCACGGUAUGUUCAUAAAACACCAUCUACUGUUUUUACAUGUCAAUGGCGGUGCGCUCGAGGAAAACCACUCACCCGUUCCAGGAUUCCGAGCGCGAGGAAAACACCGAUCCAGUGCGUCAUGGCCGGUGCGCGAGGACCUCUCCAGUUCCGACCCACUCGAACUCAUGAAAGGUCCAGCCAGGACGCGGAGAAGCAUCGGUUGGUUUAACAGCAGUAGUGGCACUCCCGAUAACUUUACGAGGAAGCUAAGAAGGAAUGGUGGGAACUUCAGCCUUAUUUGGACUGAAAACCACGACAACUAAGACCUCCUCAGUCCUGAGUUUGUGUGUGUUUGUCUAAGCUUCCAACUGUGGGAGGUUACUGUAGUUUUUUAAUAAAUGAGAGUGAUUCUCUGUGUCUGUGUUUGAGAUACAGACAGAUACGCUGUGUGCGUUUUCACGUUUGAGGGAGCGAACUAUGAAUAAACACACAGC